AAUCUAUGUUCGAAAAGGUUUAACAUUCCCUCUGCUGGCCUUGUGUUGCACACAGAUCAGGAACUACUUUUCAACCAGGCGGCUGUGAUUCAUGUGUUGGUGACGUUCAAGGAGCUGCUGCUGAAGUGUGACCUCAGUACUGCAUUGGAGUACCUGACCAAAGCAGCUGAGGCGUGCGCAGAGCGGAGUCUGGAGAAGCUGGUGAAGAGGCUGCAGAUCGUCCUCUUCCUCAGUCACAAGUACCAGGAGUCCAACCUCAAACUGCUGGAGCUGCAGCAGCUGCUGGCUGCACAGCUGCAGAGCAGACAAGGACAGAAGAUAGCAGAGAAAAUUCUUGUCAUAAUAUCAGUCGACUCUGCCGACAUCAGAUCUUUAAUCAUCAGCAGUUUGAGCCACGUGACUGGUGAGCUACAACAACACUGAUCAACUAAAUACCGCUGUGGCAACAAGUGCAUAAUGCAAACACUUGUGUUUCUGUUAUACAAACUCAACAGUCAAAAACCAAAACAAAAGUUAGUAAUCCAGAGCAGUUUGCUGCAUUCCUUGUAACUACAAUACAAACACAUGAUCAUGCAUGUGUCAUACAGUUAAGUAUGUU
rnacentral:lncRNA from 1 species